rnacentral:misc_RNA from 1 species
AACGCACAUUGCGCCCUUUGGUAUUCCGAAGGGCAUGCCUGUUCGAGCGUCAUUAUCACCUCUCAAACCCCCUCGGGUUUGGUGUUGGACGGCUUGGUCGGGUGCCAGGCGCGCCCGACCCCUCUAAAAGACAAUGACGGCGACAUCGUGGACCCCCCGGCACAGUGAGCCUUUGCAGCACGUGUUGAGGGCGGCCCGACGCCCGGUCUCCUCCCCGCCAGGGGAAAAUUAUCAUCAUCAGGUUGACCUCGGAUCAGGUAGGAAUACCCGCUGAACUUAA